CACGUGGCAGGCGUAGAAUGUCCGUAUCCUGAAAAGAUCAAGCAGAGCUUGUUGUAGCAGCAUAAAUGCUCACCGUACAAGUAUCUCGAACAUGCUGUGUCUAGCUAAUAGAAAACCAAGCCAAGGAAAGUCCGGCUUGCGCGUGGACGCAACCAAUGUCGCCGGUCGAUAAUUGUUCGGAUAUGAUCACCGCGGCGACUGUUGCUGCUGUCACUGUGAUGGUGGUAGUAAUAAUGAUGUUGCCGCUUGUUACGAUGGAGAUGGCCAUCUGCCGAGUUCAGGCUCACGUUCGUCAUCACUUGCCAACGUGUGCGUUAUGUGUUUCGCCGCCUGACUCGUUGGCCUUGAAUCUU